CGGGAGGCAGCAGUGGGGAAUAUUGCGCAAUGGGGGAAACCCUGACGCAGCGACGCCGCGUGGAGGAUGAAGAUCUUCGGGUUGUAAACUCCUUUUCUCAGGGAAAAUAAUGAUGGUACCUGAGGAAUAAGCCACGGCUAACUCUGUGCCAGCAGCCGCGGUA
rnacentral:rRNA from 1 species